UUUAAAUUUUAUAUUAUUUAUUAUGUAAUAAAUUUGACAUGAAAGGUCUUUUUCAAAAUCUAGCAUUAAGGGUGUUACGAGACUGUAAGAGGAAUGAAGAAAAACUCAUGAUUGGUGUGGACGGGAAGUCUGUUUAUAAUAUAGUUCAAGAGAGAAGCAUCUCAUUUCCUUACUUUUUCGAUCUUUCCAAUUCAUUCACUUCAAGGCUGGUUUUGAACGUCACGUAACAUUAUUUUUAACCAAUAUCCACUGUACGUACUUUCGAUGUGGUCAUUGAAGAAUUGUUUAUACACUAAAUUGUUG
rnacentral:misc_RNA from 1 species